GUUUAAUUGUAUUAUGCUCCUGAAGGAGUGCUAAUGUAAAUUAAGGAACAGCUCAUAGUAGGGUAAAAUAUUUAAGGUGUAUUGUUCUUAUUUUGUGUAAAUAUUAAAAUCAUUCAGCUUUAAAUUGUUUGCUUGUUAGCCACCUGCUAAUUAUCUUUAGCUAGCCAGCUAGCGCUAGCUUAUUAAUGCCUUGUCAUUCUCUGUAGCUAGCUCUGUGUGUGUGUGUGUGUGUGUGUGUGUGUGUGUGAGCAGGCUUUAGUUGUCAUGGCAAUCAGGGGAGCCCACAGCAGCUGCGCACGCUCUCUCUGUCUCUAACUCUUGAGAGAGACAGAAAACAAUUAAAAUGAAUCCCCUCAAAAGCAUGGCCAGGAACGACCGAAAUGAAAACCGAAAAGACUGUGAGCGUCGUCAUCUUGUUGACUAUAGCACUGCCAAGUUUUAGUGGUUAAAGUUAAAAAAUGUGACCUGGGGAGAUUGAGAGAGAAGAGGUUCAACGAGCGUGUUUCAAGAUUUGUCCUCUAAAAUUAACAUGGGAGUAG